UCCGGCUAACUUCGUGCCAGCAGCCGCGGUAAUACGAGGGGAGCUAGUGUGUUCGGAUUUACUGGGCGUAAAGGGAGUGUAGGCGGGCAUCUAAGUCAGAGGUGAAAUUUCGGGGCUCAACCCUGAACUUGCCUUCGAUACUGGGUGUCUUGAGUAUGGAAGAGGUCGAUGGAAUUCCUGGUGUAGCGGUGGAAUGCGUAGAUAUCAGGAGGAACGCCAAUAGCGAAAGCAGUCGACUGGGACAAUACUGACGCUGAAACUCGAAAGCAUGGGGAGCAAACAGGAUUAGAUACCCUGGUAGUCCAUGCCCUAAACUAUGGACACUAGAUAUCGGAGGAGUUAACCCCUUCGGUGUCGUAGCUAACGCGUUAAGUGUCUCGCCUGGGGAGUACGCUCGCAAG
rnacentral:rRNA from 1 species